rnacentral:rRNA from 1 species
UGAGCAAUCUGCCCUUGACUCUGGGAUAAGCGUUGGAAACGACGUCUAAUACCGGAUACGAGCUGUGAAGGCAUCUUCAACAGCUGGAAAGAACUUCGGUCAAGGAUGAGCUCGCGGCCUAUCAGCUAGUUGGUGAGGUAAUGGCUCACCAAGGCGUCGACGGGUAGCCGGCCUGAGAGGGUGACCGGCCACACUGGGACUGAGACACGGCCCAGAUCCGACGGG